rnacentral:rRNA from 1 species
GGUUAAGUUAGAAAGGGCGCACGGUGGAUGCCUUGACACUAGGAGUCGAUGAAGGACGGGACUAACGCCGAUAUGCUUCGGGGAGCUGUAAGUAAGCUUUGAUCCGAAGAUUUCCGAAUGGGGAAACCCACCAUACGUAAUGGUAUGGUAUCCUUAUCUGAAUACAUAGGGUAAGGAAGACAGACCCAGGGAACUGAAACAUCUAAGUACCUGGAGGAAGAGAAAGCAAAUGCGAUUUCCUGAGUAGCGGCGAGCGAAACGGAACAUAGCCCAAACCAAGAGGCUUGCCUCUUGGGGUUGUAGGACAUUCUAUACGGAGUUACAAAGGAACGAGGUAGACGAAGCGACCUGGAAAGGUCCGUCGUAGAGGGUAACAACCCCGUAGUCGAAACUUCGUUCUCUCUUGAAUGUAUCCUGAGUACGGCGGAACACGUGAAAUUCCGUCGGAAUCUGGGAGGACCAUCUCCCAAGGCUAAAUACUCCCUAGUGAUCGAUAGUGAACCAGUACCGUGAGGGAAAGGUGAAAAGCACCCCGGAAGGGGAGUGAAAGAGAUCCUGAAACCGUGUGCCUACAAAUAGUCAGAGCCCGUUAACGGGUGAUGGCGUGCCUUUUGUAGAAUGAACCGGCGAGUUACGAUCCCGUGCGAGGUUAAGCUGAAGAGGCGGAGCCGCAGCGAAAGCGAGUCUGAAUAGGGCGUUUAGUACGUGGUCGUAGACCCGAAACCAGGUGAUCUACCCAUGUCCAGGGUGAAGUUCAGGUAACACUGAAUGGAGGCCCGAACCCACGCACGUUGAAAAGUGCGGGGAUGAGGUGUGGGUAGCGGAGAAAUUCCAAUCGAACCUGGAGAUAGCUGGUUCUCCCCGAAAUAGCUUUAGGGCUAGCCUUAAGUGUAAGAGUCUUGGAGGUAGAGCACUGAUUGGACUAGGGGUCCUCAUCGGAUUACCGAAUUCAGUCAAACUCCGAAUGCCAAUGACUUAUCCUUAGGAGUCAGACUGCGAGUGAUAAGAUCCGUAGUCAAAAGGGAAACAGCCCAGACCGCCAGCUAAGGUCCCAAAGUGUGUAUUAAGUGGAAAAGGAUGUGGAGUUGCUUAGACAACUAGGAUGUUGGCUUAGAAGCAGCCACCAUUUAAAGAGUGCGUAAUAGCUCACUAGUCGAGUGACUCUGCGCCGAAAAUGUACCGGGGCUAAAUACACCACCGAAGCUGCGGAUUGAUACCAAUGGUAUCAGUGGUAGGGGAGCGUUCUAAGGACAGUGAAGUCAGACCGGAAGGACUGGUGGAGUGCUUAGAAGUGAGAAUGCCGGUAUGAGUAGCGAAAGACGGGUGAGAAUCCCGUCCACCGAAUGCCUAAGGUUUCCUGAGGAAGGCUCGUCCGCUCAGGGUUAGUCAGGACCUAAGCCGAGGCCGACAGGCGUAGGCGAUGGACAACAGGUUGAUAUUCCUGUACCACCUCUUUAUCGUUUGAGCAAUGGAGGGACGCAGAAGGAUAGAAGAAGCGUGCGAUUGGUUGUGCACGUCCAAGCAGUUAGGCUGAUAAGUAGGCAAAUCCGCUUAUCGUGAAGGCUGAGCUGUGAUGGGGAAGCUCCUUAUGGAGCGAAGUCUUUGAUUCCCCGCUGCCAAGAAAAGCUUCUAGCGAGAUAAAAGGUGCCUGUACCGCAAACCGACACAGGUAGGCGAGGAGAGAAUCCUAAGGUGUGCGAGAGAACUCUGGUUAAGGAACUCGGCAAAAUGACCCCGUAACUUCGGGAGAAGGGGUGCUUUCUUAACGGAAAGCCGCAGUGAAUAGGCCCAAGCGACUGUUUAGCAAAAACACAGCUCUCUGCGAAGCCGUAAGGCGAAGUAUAGGGGGUGACACCUGCCCGGUGCUGGAAGGUUAAGGAGAGGGGUUAGCGUAAGCGAAGCUCUGAACUGAAGCCCCAGUAAACGGCGGCCGUAACUAUAACGGUCCUAAGGUAGCGAAAUUCCUUGUCGGGUAAGUUCCGACCCGCACGAAAGGUGUAACGAUUUGGGCACUGUCUCAACCAGAGACUCGGUGAAAUUAUAGUACCUGUGAAGAUGCAGGUUACCCGCGACAGGACGGAAAGACCCCGUGGAGCUUUACUGUAGCCUGAUAUUGAAUUUUGGUACAGUUUGUACAGGAUAGGCGGGAGCCAUGGAAACCGGAGCGCUAGCUUCGGUGGAGGCGCUGGUGGGAUACCGCCCUGACUGUAUUGAAAUUCUAACCUACGGGUCUUAUCGACCCGGGAGACAGUGUCAGGUGGGCAGUUUGACUGGGGCGGUCGCCUCCUAAAGUGUAACGGAGGCGCCCAAAGGUUCCCUCAGAAUGGUUGGAAAUCAUUCGUAGAGUGCAAAGGCAUAAGGGAGCUUGACUGCGAGACCUACAAGUCGAGCAGGGACGAAAGUCGGGCUUAGUGAUCCGGUGGUUCCGCAUGGAAGGGCCAUCGCUCAACGGAUAAAAGCUACCCCGGGGAUAACAGGCUUAUCUCCCCCAAGAGUCCACAUCGACGGGGAGGUUUGGCACCUCGAUGUCGGCUCAUCGCAUCCUGGGGCUGUAGUCGGUCCCAAGGGUUGGGCUGUUCGCCCAUUAAAGCGGUACGCGAGCUGGGUUCAGAACGUCGUGAGACAGUUCGGUCCCUAUCCGUCGUGGGCGUAGGAAAUUUGAGAGGAGCUGUCCUUAGUACGAGAGGACCGGGAUGGACGCACCGCUGGUGUACCAGUUGUUCUGCCAAGGGCAUAGCUGGGUAGCUAUGUGCGGAAGGGAUAAGUGCUGAAAGCAUCUAAGCAUGAAGCCCCCCUCAAGAUGAGAUUUCCCAUAGCGUAAGCUAGUAAGAUCCCUGAAAGAUGAUCAGGUUGAUAGGUUCGAGGUGGAAGCAUGGUGACAUGUGGAGCUGACGAAUACUAAUAGAUCGAGGACUUAACCAU